GGAGGAAAGUAGGGGAUCGAAAGACCUUAUGCUUUUGGAGCGGCCGAUGUCUGAUUAGCUAGUUGGUGGGGUAAUUGCCUACCAAGGCGACGAUCAGUAGUUGGUCCGAGAGGACGACCAGCCACACUGGGACUGAGACACGGCCCAGACUCCUACGGGAGGCAGCAGUGGGGAAUUUUGGACAAUGGGCGCAAGCCUGAUCCAGCAAUGCCGCGUGAGUGAAGAAGGCCUUCGGGUUGUAAAGCUCUUUCAGUUGAGAAGAAAAGAUUGUAACUAAUAAUUACAGUUCAUGACGGUAUCAACAGAAGAAGCACCGGCUAACUACGUGCCAGCAGCCGCGGUAAUACGUAGGGUGCGAGCGUUAAUCGGAAUUACUGGGCGUAAAGGGUGCGCAGGCGGUUCUGUAAGUCAGAUGUGAAAUCCCCGGGCUUAACCUGGGAACUGCGUUUGAAACUACAAAGCUAGA
rnacentral:rRNA from 1 species